UACGGGGGGGGCAAGCGUUGUUCGGAAUUACUGGGCGUAAAGGGUGCGUAGGCGGUCCGCUAAGUUGGAUGUGAAAACUCUGGGCUUAACCCAGAGCCUGCAUUCAAAACUGACGGGCUAGAGUUCUGGAGGGGGUAGCGGAAUUCCUGGUGUAGCGGUGAAAUGCGUAGAUAUCAGGAGGAACACCGGUGGUGAAGGCGGCUACCUGGACAGAAACUGACGCUGAGGCACGAAAGCUAGGGGAGCAAACAGG
rnacentral:rRNA from 1 species